rnacentral:lncRNA from 1 species
AGAAAGAGUAAUAUACAUUAACAAUCCUGAGUUUCAAGAUUCUUGAUCAAGACAAGAGUAAAAACAAUGAUGCAAGAGAGUUGAAAGUACACUCAUAUUUUUGAUCUACAUUUACUUGACGUAGUAAGGAAGGUCAAGAACGUAGAGAAGGAAGUAAGCCCAAGUCACCCCAGAGAUCCCUCCAAAGAAGAACCCUCCUGUGAACUUAGCCCAUCCCUCAGCCGUUUGAAGCUGGUCAGGCUGCUUCUUCCGCCCGGUCAAAGUCAAACUCGGUGCAAUGGAUGGCUCGCCUUCCUUGAAUGAAGAGAUACCAUAGAUGGUGAGGCACAUGCUGAGGAUGACUACGAGCCCAGCCGCGGCUAAAGACCCGGCUGACCCGGCGUAAGCAGUGUUCCUUAACGGACCAGCCUUGACGAAUGGGCCCACUAAGAAGAAACCAUGGGCCAGGCCAACUUCGACACCACGGAGGAGAGGGUUGACAGCGGUACGGUAGCCAGGGAGGUUGGAAAGGUACCACGCGAUCAAGGGGCU